rnacentral:rRNA from 1 species
AUUGAACGCUGGCGGCAGGCCUAACACAUGCAAGUCGAGCGAGCGGCGGACGGGUGAGUAAUGUAUGGGGACUGCCUGAUCGAGGGGGAUAACUACUGGAAACGGUGGCUAAUACCGCAUACUAUCGGAUAACCCAUAUGGGAUUAGCUAGUAGGUGGGGAAAAGGCUCACCUAGGCGACGAUCCCUAGCUGGUCUGAGAGGCUGACCAGCCACACUGGGACUGAGACACGGCCCAGACUCCUACGGAGGCAGCAGUGGGGAAUAUUGCACAAUGGGCGCAAGCCUGAUGCAGCCAUGCCGCGUGUAUGAAGAAGGCCUUCGGGUUGUAAAGUACUUUCAGUCUGGAGGCGUUACCCACAGAAGAAGCACCGGCUAACUCCGUGCCAGCAGCCGCGGUAAUUC